UACGUAGGGGGCUAGCGUUGUCCGGAAUCAUUGGGCGUAAAGCGCGUGUAGGCGGUCCGGUAAGUCCGCUGUGAAAGUCGAGGGCUCAACCCUCGAAUGCCGGUGGAUACUGGCGGGCUAGAGUGCGGAAGAGGCGAGUGGAAUUCCUGGUGUAGCGGUGAAAUGCGCAGAUAUCAGGAGGAACACCGGUGGCGAAGGCGGGUCUCUGGGCCGAUACUGACGCUGAGGAGCGAAAGCGUGGGGAGCGAACAGG
rnacentral:rRNA from 1 species